GUGCUCACUUUGGCAUAAAAAAAUUGUAAUGAAACAGAUAUUAAGAUUAGCAUGGCUCCUGCGCAAAGAUCACAUGCAAAUUUGUGAAGCGUUCCAUAUUUUU